rnacentral:rRNA from 1 species
UACGUAGGGUGCGAGCGUUGUCCGGAAUUAUUGGGCGUAAAGAGCUCGUAGGCGGUCUGUCGCGUCGAUCGUGAAAACUUGGGGCUUAACCCUGAGCUUGCGGUCGAUACGGGCAUGACUGGAGUUCGGCAGGGGAGACUGGAAUUCCUGGUGUAGCGGUGAAAUGCGCAGAUAUCAGGAGGAACACCUGCGGUGUAGACGGCUUACUGGACCAUAACUGACGCUGAGGCACGAAAGCGUGGGUAGCAAACAGG